AAAAAGAUAAAACCGAAAGUAGAAUGUAGUUAAGUAGGGAUUUCCUUCCGUUAUUGAUUGUGCUGUUUACAGAAUGACUUUAUCAUGACAUUUUCUGCAUAACAUGGCGACGUAUUUGGAGAAAAAACUUUUAAGGGUAUUAGUUAGUGCUAAUUCCACCGAAAAGAUACCCAUUUUGGCCGCAACAUACGAAGAGUUAGUUGCUGAAUGCAAAAGAAAGCUUCCGCAUGAUGGUGGUGGGAAGCAUUUUGACCUUUACACCGAGGACAACACAAAAAUUGAUGAAGAUUUUUUCACCAGGAUCGGCGACGACAUCAUCGUUCGUCUUUCGACAGAAGCAUCUUUAGUUUUUCCAUCGAUCGUUUUCAAAGUUAAUUCGAAAAAUGGACUUUAUCAAAUCGGUGAAAGGAACUUGAUGGUAACUGUCAACUUAUCGGACAAAUACACCAGCUUCAUGGACGACUUCAAUAACAAAAUCGAGGACGAUGAGGAGAUAUUCUCCUUGGAAUGGUCAAGAUGGGAAGAGCACGCAAAGGUGUUUUCUUGUGGACUUAAAACAAAGGUUACUAAUGCCCUUGACGAGCACUUAUGUACAAUAGAACAUGUAAUACUAAAAUAUAUUGGAAAAGAAGAUUUCAAGGUUUUAAGGUCACUAACCGAAAAGUUUUUCGUUGAGUUCAAAGCCAUGAUGAGCGCUGUUUUUCAAGGAUGUCUAGACUUCCGUUUCAACUUUCUAUCUGCUGAUGAAAGAAUGGUCAUGAUGCAAGAUUUGCCAAAAGUUCAAUCCAUCUUAAAUCGCAUGUUGUUUCCACCAGACUUCGAAAAGGAUUACCCAGGGGUACAAUUAACUGCAACAAUCAAUCAUGAAUAUACAAGUGAUGGAGACACGUCCACUCAAUCAAGCAUUGAAAGUCGCAAUAUACAGUACUUGUAUCAGACAGAAGGGGAUACUGUAUCUGUCAAUUUAAGAUCCUUAGAAGGUGAACUUCUUCCGAAUGCUUCUCUGAAUAGUAUAUAUAGUGUUCUUCGAAAUUUCUCAGCAACCACUUCGUCUGCAAUUCAGCAGAGUGAAAGGAUACUGUACACCGUAUUGUGUGUAGAUAAAUCAAGCAGUCUCUCUGUCGCAGAGUUCUCCUCCAUAAAGAAAUGUGCUAUCGAAUUUUUCAAAGAGCUUGACAGAAACGCACAUAGUGAACUCCAUCUUGAACAAAAUGUUAACAGUGAUCCAUAUGGUAAACCCUAUCCGGACAUAAAUGUUAACAGGAACGAACAUAGAGAACCACAUUUGGACGAAAAUAUUGCCAUCCUCGGUUUUGGAGAUUCGCUGGAAUACCUCAGUGGUUUUUCUUUCAAGAUUCAAGACCAAAUUGCACUUAUGGAUCAAAUGGAAAAGGGGACUGUCCAGAGUUCAGGAUCAUUGCAAGUACUUGAGGCAGUCGUCACGGCCAACUUUCUAUUAAAAGAACAUGGCAAGAGACGAAACUUCGGAAAUGGGGAAGAAUUUCUUCCUCCUCGAGUAGUUUUAAUCUCGGGCAGUGGGUUUCCGGAUGUUCCGGAAUCCGGUGUAAAGCAGUUGAUUGAUCGGCUGGGAGACAAGGACAUGCGUUAUCCUGUUUAUUGUUGCAAUAUUCGAAGCUCUAGUAACCAAGAUCGGCUGUCGUUUUUAACAACACAUACAAAUGGCAAAUUAAUCACAAAAUCAAAGUCGUAUUUACUGGGAGCGUUUCACCGACUGAAAAUGAGGAAAACUUUGUCUCAAAACGAAAAGAAAGAAGAUUCUGUUGAAUCACAGGACAUUGAGUUCUUAUUUGGAUGAACUAUGAGGGCAAUUUGGCGACAAUGGUCUACGCUUGAUAAUAAAUUUAAAUAACUAAAAUAAUUGUUACAUGAUGACUAACAACGAAUAUCCUAAACAUUAAGUGAAAGGAUAUAAUAUUGACCACUUGUAAAAUGUACUGUAUUUUUUCAUACCGGUGAAGCAAACAUUGAAAACAUCUGUGCAAAUAUUCGUCUGAGAAAAAUAAUACAUUCAUUUUGGAGCUUCUGUAAGGUUAUACCAGUAAGAAAGUUUUAUAAAAUGAGUGUGACACUGGACAUGGCUUUACAUGUGAUGUGACAUUUUUGAACAUUGAACGCUUUUAAAAAAUGGAAUUCUUUAUGAUCAUGACGAUCUCACAUCAUCAUACCUCCAAAUGGAAAGAAAACAGAUCGACCAAACCAGUCAUUAGAAGAUUGCCAAUUCGUUAGUUAGUAGAGUUGGUGCCUUUACAAAGGAAACAGUUUGUCUUUGGCAGUCAGCAAUGUCACAAACUCUUUGCUUUCCGUUUUACCUCACCACUUCAAGUGGAUUCAAGUUAAUUGAGCACCAAGAUGUGAAACAGAAUCUGAACUUGCAACUUGACUGGUACGGCUAUGUCAAAUAAUAUGGAAAGGAAUGUUUGCAACAAUAGUGUAAUGUAUUCA